AAUGCUAACACAAAAUAUUUCAUUCCCUUAUUGAUACAAAUUUCCAAACAAAUUUCUUGGUGAUUUUAGGCAACAGAGCAGCAAUGAAAUGUGCUUGUGUGCUGGUGUGGAUGUGAAAGCUAACUGGAAAUUACUGCAAGUAUGCUGUGAGUGUUACCUCCAAAAGAUGCAACAAGCUACCCAGCCAUCCUUACCACUACAGGUUCCUCCUCUUCCUAACUUGCCACUAAAGGGACUGUGCCAUCCAAGAUCUCCAGACAGUGGGCCUCAACCAUCUUCAAACACAGACUCCGGGCAGCAACCAGAGACUGGAUAACAAGAAAAAGAACUGCUUUUCUCAGUAAGUUGCUAAAGCUGGUCCCCUGUUAGGGGAGACCUUGGGAUUGUUGUUGCAAUAGGCCUACUUUAGUAGUGCUAGAACUUUAUGUAAAUUAUGGGUAUUAAUGCAAGAGGCUCUAGGUUAGAACCCUAAUACUAGGGUUGGGAGGGAUAUCUCAGCCUUAAUUACACAUUAGUUUUUUUUCUCUAUGUUUUGACAGAUACUAGAAUAAAAUAAGCAAAACCAAUAUUAUGGUGAGUAAAAUAUAACACCAGAAAGCCAGGUAUGGUGGUGCACUCUUAUAAUCCCAGCUACUCAGGAGGCUGAGGUAGGAGGAUGACAAGUUGGAAUCCAGCCUGGGCAACUUAGUGAAACCCUGUUUAAAAAAAUAAAUUAAAAAAACAAAACAAAACAACUAUCUGCCAGGAAAUACAUAGCCAGAUCAUUACUGUUUGUUCACAAUCACAUGGAGUAGUUCAAAAAGCAAAUGAACUAUGUAUAGUUCUAUGUGCUUUUACAUAACGCUAAAAUUCUGAUGCGCUAAGAUUGCUACUAAAAAUACAUCUGCCAAAAGGCCCCCUCUUCCCCCCCAAAACCACCCAAGACUUCAAAUUUUAAAAAUCUGCCCAAAGAAAAACAUCUCUGUACUUACAAGGACAAACUUUUGUUGUGUAGAAAAUGGAUUGACUCGACAUGGCUUACUCCCAGCUAAGUGUAUGUCCCUGAAUUACCUAAGAUGAUGGGAGACAGGGGAGGCACCACUACCAGGGACCUCUGCCACCCGUGAAGACCACACUACAUUAUUCAACACAACUAUACAUGUGAGGAUAGGAACAGAGCUAAAAGGAAAGAUAACGGAAGGGUUUUACUGGGAUGUCACUUACUUUUAAAUAGGAUUAUUUUAUCCCAGCAUCAUCUUCCUAGAAAAGUUAGAUUAUUUAUUAGUAGGAGUAUGUGUGGGGUUGUGGGGGGCCUUGUGCAUGCUAGGUAAGCCUCUACCUCUAAGCUACAUGCCCAGAUGAACAUUUAGAUUGAAAAACUACUUUAACACUGAUGAGGAUAAUUUCUAUCUUGGAUUAUGCCAAGAACAAAAUUUAAGGCUCUGCUUGAACAGGAACUAGAAGCCAAACAGUGAGGACACACUUACGGGCCUCUCUAUCAGGUCGAUGCACGGCUGCAGAUCCAGCCCGAAGUCGAUGAAGUUCCACUCGAUGCCCUCGCGCUGGUACUCCUCCUGCUCCAGCACAAACAUGGUGUGGUUGAACAGUUGCUGCAGCUUCUCGUUGGUGUAGUUGAUACACAGUUGUUCAAAGGAGUUCAGCU